rnacentral:rRNA from 1 species
UACCUGCAGCUCGAGUGGUAACCGCUAUUAUUGGGCCUAAAGCGUCCGUAGCCGGUUUGGUAAAUAUCUGGGUAAAUCGUGAGGCUUAACUUCACGAAUUUCGGAUAGACUGCCAGACUUGGGAUCGGGGGAGGUCAGAGGUACUCCAGGGGUAGCGGUGAAAUGUUGUAAUCCUUGGAGGACCACCGGUAGCGAAGGCGUCUGACUAGAACGAGUCCGACGGUGAGGGACGAAGCCCUGGGGCGCAAACCGGAUUAGAUACCCGGGUAGUCCAGGGUGUAAACAAUGUGGGCUUUGUAUUGGAGAUCCCACGUGGGCGUCCAGUGCAGGAGAGAAGUUGUUAAGCCCACCGCCUGGGGAGUACGGUCGCAAGGCUGAAACUUAAAGGAAUUGGCGGGGGGAGCACAGCAACGGGAGGAGCGUGCGGUUU